rnacentral:misc_RNA from 1 species
AAGGAUCAUUACCGAGUUAGGGUCUUACAUGGCCCAACCUCCAACCCUUUGUGUACAUUGAAUUGUUGCUUCGGCAGGCCAAUGCUCCUGCCGGAGCCCAAAUCAAAAACAUAUUUUAUGGUGUCGUCUGAGUUAAACAUCAAAUCAUUAAAACUUUCAACAACGGAUCUCUUGGUUCCC